UCUGCCCCGUUGUAAAAAUUCCUAAAGCAGAGGAAAAGCGUGCUGUUUCCCUGCUGAGCUCAAGGAUGAAAACCACACAGGCAAUAAAGGUUUAACUAACAGAAGCUCAACUUGUGAUCAACAUCAGGAAUAAAUUAGAUCAUCAAUACCAGUCAUAUCGUAACAACUGCAUUCCUGGAAUGGAUGUCUCACAAUGCCACUGCACCCCUGCUUUCUAAAAGGUGCUGCCAGAAGAGAGGAGAAGUGGGGACCCUAAGGCAUGUCAGACCAGUCCUAUUUGUGCAACAAAGUCAGUCCCUUGGCCCAAGAGACUUAAGAUCAACCUGGGAGAGUAUGGCAUUGUGAUUGGCCUCUAAAUCUCUCAGGGGGUUGGUAUGACAUGGGGCCUAGAGCCUGUGGAAGGGGCAAGAUAACCACCCUGGGUGCCAAUGAUAGGGGAAGUGUGCAUAGAGUAUAGCCUGUCCCCCAGCCCCACCUCUGGUGAGAGUCCGAAUAUAGCUGCAGCCCAAGUUAACUGUGGACCAUAAACAGCCCAGAGCCCCAACUUUGUCCUUAGUCCAACAUGAGUAAGAAUCAUGCCACAUAAGUGAAUCUCUACCUUUCCUGUAGUCUGUGAUUCUUCAAAAGGAAUGUCUCACUGGCCAGUGAGAGUGGUCUGCUUACCAGGCCGCCUUCCUGCAACAAAGCCCUGGCCCCAGAACCCACCUCAUAGGCAUAAGUCUCAGAGCUCCUCUGGGCAUCUUGGGUGAGGUGUAAAGAAUCAAAGAGUGCCUCAAAGGAGAAAUGUGCCCAGGGAAAAUGGGAAGCUGGGUCUGUUUGAGUUCUGGUCUAGGGCUUCAGUAUCUUGCCUAGACAGCACUCCUAGCUGUGGUGGUCCCAGUCAUUGAAGAGGACUUACAAACCUUGGAGAAAAGCACUUCCUAUGACGGAGACCCUCACAUGAUCAGAUCUGGGCUCAAGAGCAGCAUUGCACUAUAGUCCUCAGCCCAUCUCAAGCACCAGAGUGGAAAGAAGAAAAUUCCAAGGAAGGCGCUCUAAAGCGUGGGGCCCAAGGUGGAGGCCCAAAUCAUCCAGCCUAAGGGAAGUGCAGCAAGUACUUGCUACCCAGUUUAAGAAAAUAAAUAUAUUUUUAAAAGUUCACUCUAAGUCCCUUCUUGAUCCUUCCUGUUAUGCUUUAUAUCUGCAAUGUUCCUCCAAAAGCUUAUGUGUCAGGAAACACAGCAAUGCUCAGAGUGGAAAAGACUGAAUCAUGAGGGCUCUUGCCUCAUUAGUGGAUUAAUUCAUUUGACUGAUUAAUGAUUUGAAAGGACUCACUAGGAGGGGUAAAAAUGAUGGCGGGGCAUGACUGGAGGAAGUAGGUCACUGGUGUCAUGGCUUGGGGACCAUGUCUGUCCCUGGCCCCUUUCUGUCUGUCUCUGUCUACCUCCUGAUUGCCAUGAACUGAGCAGCUUUCCUCUGCCACACCCUUGCUCCAUGAUGUUUCUGGUUUGGAGCCAGCUGACCACAGACUGAACCUCUGAAACCAUGGACUAAAAUAAAUCUUUCCUCCUCUAAGUUGUUUUUGUCAGGUAUUUUGGUCACAGAGACAAAAAACUAACCUUUCCCUCUACAUUUGUAGACAAACGAUCCCAAAAGUACUCCCCCCGCCUUUGGCCACAUACAUAUAUUGAGCUUUUAAAAAGGACAUUGGUUUUACAUGUUUUUAACUUUAUAUAAAUAGAAUAAAAUUGUAUACAGUUUUGUUUCCUCAUUGAAUCCAUGGAUCAAAAAGGACACAAUCAAAAUCUGUAUAAUGUUGCCUUCCAACCCAGAAACAUGAUUUACUUCUCAAGUUUUCUUUAAUGUCUUUUAAUUAAAUUUGACAUUCUUUUCUGUUAAGGUUUUCUACUUAUUUUAUAAAUUUAUUCAUAGGUACUGAUUAAAUAUAUUCCUAGGUUGA